rnacentral:tRNA from 1 species
GGAGGAGUGGCCGAGUGGUUGAAGGCACCGGUCUUGAAAACCGGCUAAGGGUGACUUUUCGUGAGUUCAAAUCUCACCUCCUCCGCCA